AGUGAACGCUGGCGGUAGGCCUAACACAUGCAAGUCGAACGGCAGCACAGUAAGAGCUUGCUCUUACGGGUGGCGAGUGGCGGACGGGUGAGGAAUACAUCGGAAUCUACUCUUUCGUGGGUGAUAACGUAGGGAAACUUACGCUAAUACCGCAUACGACCUACGGGGGAAAGCAGGGGAUCUUCGGACCUUGCGCGAUUGAAUGAGCCGAUGUCGGAUUAGCUAGAUGGCGGGGUAAAGGGCCACCAAGGCGACGAUCCGUAGCUGGUCUGAGGGGGUGAUCAGCCACCUUGGAACUGAGACUCGGUCCCGACUCCUGCGCGAGGCCGCAGUGCAGACUCUUGCGCGAUGCGCGAGAGCCUGAUCCAGCCCUACCGCGUGGGUGCAGAAGGACUUAGGGUUGUAAAGCCCUUUUGUUGGGAAAGAAGAACAGCAGGUUAAUCCCCCGCUGUUAUGACGGUACCCAAAGAAUAAGCUCCGGCUAACUUCGUG
rnacentral:rRNA from 1 species